GGGUUGUGAGGUUAAGCGACUAAGCGUACACGGUGGAUGCCCUGGCAGUCAGAGGCGAUGAAGGACGUGCUAAUCUGCGAUAAGCGUCGGUAAGGUGAUAUGAACCGUUAUAACCGGCGAUUUCCGAAUGGGGAAACCCAGUGUGAUUCGUCACACUAUCAUUAACUGAAUCCAUAGGUUAAUGAGGCGAACCGGGGGAACUGAAACAUCUAAGUACCCCGAGGAAAAGAAAUCAACCGAGAUUCCCCCAGUAGCGGCGAGCGAACGGGGAGCAGCCCAGAGCCUGAAUCAGUGUGUGUGUUAGUGGAAGCGUCUGGAAAGGCGCGCGAUACAGGGUGACAGCCCCGUACACAAAAAUGCACAUACUGUGAGCUCGAUGAGUAGGGCGGGACACGUGGUAUCCUGUCUGAAUAUGGGGGGACCAUCCUCCAAGGCUAAAUACUCCUGACUGACCGAUAGUGAACCAGUACCGUGAGGGAAAGGCGAAAAGAACCCCGGCGAGGGGAGUGAAAAAGAACCUGAAACCGUGUACGUACAAGCAGUGGGAGCACGCUUAGGCGUGUGACUGCGUACCUUUUGUAUAAUGGGUCAGCGACUUAUAUUCUGUAGCAAGGUUAACCGAAUAGGGGAGCCGAAGGGAAACCGAGUCUUAACUGGGCGUUAAGUUGCAGGGUAUAGACCCGAAACCCGGUGAUCUAGCCAUGGGCAGGUUGAAGGUUGGGUAACACUAACUGGAGGACCGAACCGACUAAUGUUGAAAAAUUAGCGGAUGACUUGUGGCUGGGGGUGAAAGGCCAAUCAAACCGGGAGAUAGCUGGUUCUCCCCGAAAGCUAUUUAGGUAGCGCCUCGUGAAUUCAUCUCCGGGGGUAGAGCACUGUUUCGGCAAGGGGGUCAUCCCGACUUACCAACCCGAUGCAAACUGCGAAUACCGGAGAAUGUUAUCACGGGAGACACACGGCGGGUGCUAACGUCCGUCGUGAAGAGGGAAACAACCCAGACCGCCAGCUAAGGUCCCAAAGUCAUGGUUAAGUGGGAAACGAUGUGGGAAGGCCCAGACAGCCAGGAUGUUGGCUUAGAAGCAGCCAUCAUUUAAAGAAAGCGUAAUAGCUCACUGGUCGAGUCGGCCUGCGCGGAAGAUGUAACGGGGCUAAACCAUGCACCGAAGCUGCGGCAGCGACGCUUAUGCGUUGUUGGGUAGGGGAGCGUUCUGUAAGCCUGUGAAGGUGUACUGUGAGGUAUGCUGGAGGUAUCAGAAGUGCGAAUGCUGACAUAAGUAACGAUAAAGCGGGUGAAAAGCCCGCUCGCCGGAAGACCAAGGGUUCCUGUCCAACGUUAAUCGGGGCAGGGUGAGUCGACCCCUAAGGCGAGGCCGAAAGGCGUAGUCGAUGGGAAACAGGUUAAUAUUCCUGUACUUGGUGUUACUGCGAAGGGGGGACGGAGAAGGCUAUGUUGGCCGGGCGACGGUUGUCCCGGUUUAAGCGUGUAGGCUGGUUUUCCAGGCAAAUCCGGAAAAUCAAGGCUGAGGCGUGAUGACGAGGCACUACGGUGCUGAAGCAACAAAUGCCCUGCUUCCAGGAAAAGCCUCUAAGCAUCAGGUAACAUCAAAUCGUACCCCAAACCGACACAGGUGGUCAGGUAGAGAAUACCAAGGCGCUUGAGAGAACUCGGGUGAAGGAACUAGGCAAAAUGGUGCCGUAACUUCGGGAGAAGGCACGCUGAUAUGUAGGUGAAGUCCCUCGCGGAUGGAGCUGAAAUCAGUCGAAGAUACCAGCUGGCUGCAACUGUUUAUUAAAAACACAGCACUGUGCAAACACGAAAGUGGACGUAUACGGUGUGACGCCUGCCCGGUGCCGGAAGGUUAAUUGAUGGGGUCAGCGCAAGCGAAGCUCUUGAUCGAAGCCCCGGUAAACGGCGGCCGUAACUAUAACGGUCCUAAGGUAGCGAAAUUCCUUGUCGGGUAAGUUCCGACCUGCACGAAUGGCGUAAUGAUGGCCAGGCUGUCUCCACCCGAGACUCAGUGAAAUUGAACUCGCUGUGAAGAUGCAGUGUACCCGCGGCAAGACGGAAAGACCCCGUGAACCUUUACUAUAGCUUGACACUGAACAUUGAGCCUUGAUGUGUAGGAUAGGUGGGAGGCUUUGAAGUGUGGACGCCAGUCUGCAUGGAGCCGACCUUGAAAUACCACCCUUUAAUGUUUGAUGUUCUAACGUUGACCCGUGAUCCGGGUUGCGGACAGUGUCUGGUGGGUAGUUUGACUGGGGCGGUCUCCUCCUAAAGAGUAACGGAGGAGCACGAAGGUUGGCUAAUCCUGGUCGGACAUCAGGAGGUUAGUGCAAUGGCAUAAGCCAGCUUGACUGCGAGCGUGACGGCGCGAGCAGGUGCGAAAGCAGGUCAUAGUGAUCCGGUGGUUCUGAAUGGAAGGGCCAUCGCUCAACGGAUAAAAGGUACUCCGGGGAUAACAGGCUGAUACCGCCCAAGAGUUCAUAUCGACGGCGGUGUUUGGCACCUCGAUGUCGGCUCAUCACAUCCUGGGGCUGAAGUAGGUCCCAAGGGUAUGGCUGUUCGCCAUUUAAAGUGGUACGCGAGCUGGGUUUAGAACGUCGUGAGACAGUUCGGUCCCUAUCUGCCGUGGGCGCUGGAGAACUGAGGGGGGCUGCUCCUAGUACGAGAGGACCGGAGUGGACGCAUCACUGGUGUUCGGGUUGUCAUGCCAAUGGCACUGCCCGGUAGCUAAAUGCGGAAGAGAUAAGUGCUGAAAGCAUCUAAGCACGAAACUUGCCCCGAGAUGAGUUCUCCCUGACCCUUUAAGGGUCCUGAAGGAACGUUGAAGACGACGACGUUGAUAGGCCGGGUGUGUAAGCGCAGCGAUGCGUUGAGCUAACCGGUACUAAUGAACCGUGAGGCUUAACCUUACAACGCCGAAGGUGUUU
rnacentral:rRNA from 1 species